rnacentral:rRNA from 1 species
CUAAUACAUGCAAGUCGAACGAAGCUUUCUUUCACCGAAUGCUUGCAUUCACCGAAAGAAGCUUAGUGGCGAACGGGUGAGUAACACGUAGGUAACCUGCCCGAAAGAGGGGGAUAACACUUGGAAACAGGUGCUAAUACCGCAUAACCAUGAACACCGCAUGAUGUUCAUGUAAAAGACGGCUUUUGCUGUCACUUUUGGAUGGGCCUGCGGCGUAUUAACUUGUUGGUGGGGUAACGGCCUACCAAGGUGAUGAUACGUAGCCGAACUGAGAGGUUGAUCGGCCACAUUGGGACUGAGACACGGCCCAAACUCCUACGGGAGGCAGCAGUAGGGAAUCUUCCACAAUGGACGAAAGUCUGAUGGAGCAACGCCGCGUGAAUGAAGAAGGCCUUCGGGUCGUAAAAUUCUGUUGUCAGAGAAGAACGUGCGUGAGAGUAACUGUUCACGUAUUGACGGUAUCUGACCAGAAAGCCACGGCUAACUACGUGCCAGCAGCCGCGGUAAUACGUAGGUGGCAAGCGUUGUCCGGAUUUAUUGGGCGUAAAGGGAACGCAGGCGGUCUUUUAAGUCUGAUGUGAAAGCCUUCGGCUUAACCGAAGUAGUGCAUUGGAAACUGGAAGACUUGAGUGCAGAAGAGGAGAGUGGAACUCCAUGUGUAGCGGUGAAAUGCGUAGAUAUAUGGAAGAACACCAGUGGCGAAAGCGGCUCUCUGGUCUGUAACUGACGCUGAGGUUCGAAAGCGUGGGUAGCAAACAGGAUUAGAUACCCUGGUAGUCCACGCCGUAAACGAUGAGUGCUAAGUGUUGGAGGGUUUCCACCCUUCAGUGCUGCAGCUAACGCAUUAAGCACUCCGCCUGGGGAGUACGGUCGCAAGAC